AGUAGUUUGAUCAGUGGCUCGAGGACGAACGCUGGCGGCGUGCCUAACACAUGCAAGUCGAGCGGGGACAUGCGACGGAGUGGAAGUUUUCGGACGGAAGCGAAGAUGUAUGUUCUAGCGGCGGACGGGUGAGUAACGCGUGAGCAAUCUGUCCUUCACGAGGGGGAUAACACAGCGAAAGUUGUACUAAUACCGCAUAAGACCACAACGGGACAUCCCGAAGGGGUCAAAGGAGCAAUCCGGUGGAGGGUGAGCUCGCGUCCGAUUAGAUAGUUGGUGAGGUAACGGCCCACCAAGUCGACGAUCGGUAGCCGACCUGAGAGGGUGAUCGGCCACAUUGGGACUGAGACACGGCCCAAACUCC
rnacentral:rRNA from 1 species